rnacentral:rRNA from 1 species
AUUUUAGUCUUAUUAGAGGAACCUGUUUUUUAAUUGAUAAUCCACGAUUAAUUUUACUUAUUUUAUUUUAAUUCAUAUAUCGCUGUCAUGAAUAUAUUUAAAAAUUAAUUUUCUUUAUUUAUUAUUGUAAUUUAUGUUAAGUCAAGAUGUGGUUUAUAAAUAAGUGUAUAAUGGGUUACAUUAAAUUUUAUUUAUGGAUUUUAAAUGAAAAUUAUGAUGAAAUUGGAUUUAAUAGUAAAUUUAUUUAUUUAAUUAAUAUGAAGAAAGAUCUAAAAUAUGUACAUAUUGCCCGUCAUUCUUAUUAAAAAUAAGACAAGUCGUAACAAAGUAAAUGUACUGGAAAGUGUAUUUAGAAAGAUUAUAUUUUAUAUAAAUAAAUAUCUAAA